CUGUGUGCUAGCUAGCUGUGUGCA
rnacentral:siRNA from 1 species